rnacentral:lncRNA from 1 species
GAGAAAUGAGUUAAGGAUCUAAAUGAUCUUUGAAUUUUAUUCCACCUGAAGGCAAAGACAGAGACCAGUGCCUGAGUAAGCUUCCAUCUUCCUCUGACACCAGAGAGAAAUAGUGCCACCUCCCCUCGCCCCCCGGGGUUAGGUAAAUAAGACCAUCUAAGAGAAGCCAGUCCCAACAUAACCAUGUCAAACCAGCACUGUGUUUCUCUCUUCUGGUCUGGAACUCUGUCCAGUUUAACCAAGUCCUAAUAUAAACCCUCCCAUCAGAACUCGUGGCUCCACGGAUCACUCCUGCCCCAGCCCAGGAUGCAGGUCACACACUGACCCAACAUGGCUAAGAAUAGGUUCCUUCCUGGCCAGAAGCGGUCACUCCUGAAACUUAACACAGAAAAAGAAAAAUGUUAACUUCUCCUCCUCUGAAUCUCCACUUUACCAAAAAUUUCCGGGCUCCAAGACCUGCCAUUUCCCAAUAGAUCCAGCCCCUCAGAAGAGCCAAGAGCCCCUUCUCACCACUGAACUGUCAUCCCACACCCACACGCCUCCUAGAAUCCCAGCCCCUUUUCUGCCCAAGGGAGGCAGGACCCAGAGAGCAACAAAGACGGCCGUUUCCUCAGACCCAACAAGCCCAGUCCCAUGACCUAUGACUGCUGACACCCCUUCACAGGGCCAGCCUUCUCAAAACCACAUCCGGGCUCCCGGCAGCAAAGCAGCCACUGCCUGAGCCACAAAGCCCCAGGUCCCCAGAGGCCAGUCACAUGGGAAGAAUGCCUCUCCGUGCCCACAGAAACACUUUAUCUGAGUCUGCACGGGGGAGCUCUUUGAGCAGCACACGUGACUCAGGCACUGUCCUAUCGAGGCUGUAUAUUCUGUCCCCUCCUUGCAUAAGGACCCAACACCACCCUUAAUUUCUUUAGAGGCAGCGUUUGUUUGGCAUCCUCUCAUCACUCCAUUUCUUGGUGACUUUUCUGUUUCCCCGUCUCCCCAGAAGCAUACAAACCCUUGGGAGUCAGGAAGAGAACGCGUGCAUUGCCCAUACUCUUCCCACGCAAGCCCCUGGAGGCCCCUUCUGUCGGGACGAUGCAUCCUAGCCUGGCCUUGCGCCUGAGCACCACCAAGAAACUCUGCCGGCUCAGCUUCAACUCACAGUCCCCUCUACCCUCUGGUGCCUUCAAGCACCGAGUUUUGUCCCAUCCUCCUCAUUCCAGAGGGUCCCGACUCAGAGUGGAGACUCCACAAGAUGGAAGAAGCAAAGCAUCAGAGCCCUAGGGUGGGAUUCCAGCUCCUCAUCUCUCCUUCCACUCGAGACCAAUGGCUCCAUUCAGAGGACAGGCGGCUUUCAGAGGGACACUUAGGGCCAAGCUCUAUGUAGAGGUACCGGUUAGGACAAGCCACCCCACAGAUCCCUGUCCAUUUAUCCCACUGACACGGGCUUUCCCGGCACCUCCUCCUUCCCUCGGCCAGGCCCCCAAGCCCGUUGCAAUUCAAAACCUUUUAGGAAGAAAAUAACCGUUGUCUCCACUGGGAGAAUACAGACCAGCACCCUUACCUUCUGCCAAGACUGGAACAGUUGUUUGAGUUUCCCUCCCAUCCACCCCCAUGGCAGCAGUGUUUCAAUUACUCUGAAAUACCAUCUGGGAGAAAUCAGCAUCACAAAUAUUUAAGGUUCCAAUUCAUUAAAAGGCAAAGAAAAAAAAAAGAGAGAGAGAAGACGCAUGUAUGCUACCUGGGAGAUGGGGUUACCCAGGAAAGCAUUCCUAACACCCCCAAGACACCAGCUGGCUUUAUCUCACUCCUUCCCCAAAAGUAUUGCCACUUGUCCGCAAGGGCAUCAGUGAGAAAAGAACAAGAGGACACCGACGGCCCUCUCAUAGGGACACGCGUAAGACAGGAUGCUUAUGCUUGAUGCAUCUUCAAGGGCACCAAGAGGGGAGCCGGAGAUUCACAAGGUUAAAGCUCAGGUCGAGCCUCUUUGCAAAGUGUCCAUAGUCCCUGCCGAGGUGCUCUGGAAUCUCUCUGCAGUCCUGGCCUAUGUAGGACACCUGGAAAAAUUAAAGGGAACAGAAAUAAUGUGGCCAACGGAAAUCCCCCAGCUGCUCCCACCCCCGUGUCAUUGAUCCGAUGAUUGCUUCCGCAACUUGAAACACACGCCCGCCCUGCGCACACGCCAAGGCCACAUUUGUGACUGUUUUCCUGACCAAAUCAGUUUUGGGGGCUUCAGGGACGCUGCCAACAGCUCCCCUCUCCUGGUACGUUUAGCAUGAGGGGGACUAAUCCCCAGCACAAUGGAAAUUUGACUGAAAUUGGCCGGAUUCAGAUGUCCCAAAAAACCCCCAACGUCAGAGCUCGCUGAUAUAAUCACAGCAAUCAGCUGCUCGCUGAGGGGCCUUCCCCACAGCUGCCCCUCUGGCUCUCCACCCCCCACACCUCCACGUCCCCCUCCUCCUGUUUGCACAUUACCUCAUAAAAGACACGGCAGAUGCACUUACCAGCAUUCAACCUGCAGGGUGCUAGAACAAAUAGGGUUGGACAAGAAAACUUCACCUCACCGCAAUCCCAUCCUAUUACCACCGUGUACACACUGUCCUCCACACUCUGAACAAAGCUGAGUCGAAGGCAACAGGGCAGCGACGGGUGGCCAGAGUUCCCGGGUCCCCAUCUCCCAGGGAGCCUUUGGCAAUCAGCCUCACUCUGCUUGCAGAGCUGUUCCUUUAGGCAUGCUCUUAUUUUAUUAAUAUUAUUCUUAUUUACCUCGUGUGAUGCCCAAAUAUUAAGAGGCUGAACCAAAAUCUGAUUCCCCAACUUCUGACUGGGACAAGCACUGUGUUUUUGAAACUCAAUUUUAUGGACAGCACCCUGGAGGCAGGGCUGGCAACUCAUUUCAAAACCCAUUAGAGAAACCGGUGACUCAGAGUUGGCCAGCAGGUUGCAAUGUACGAUGCCUUCCUACUCAAGGAUCCCACUCUCAACUGCUGGAUAGAAAUUCAGGCCCAUGACGUGGCUACAGGCUUGAUCCUCUCACCCUACAAACCCUCUUUCUUCCACACAUACCAAGAUGUCUUACAAUGACAGCAAGAUGUCCUGGGGGUUUCUGAUUCCUAAUUGAGAACAAGAAUUAGUGGCCACCUUGCAGCCUCAGACAUUAGGUCGUACCAUAAGCAUCAGUAGUAUUUGAUCACUGUAGAACUACGAAACAAAACAGCACUUUCAUAUGGCUCAGCCUAAAACAUGUCACCCUGCACCCUAGGGACCUCAGUUUUUUAAGUCCUCUCUCAACCCUCGCCUACCCAAUGGGGACAAACUGCCAACCACACAAUAUCCUGUAUUCACUCGCCUUCGGUAACUUCAUUUCUGGAGGAGAGAAAAUGGUGGGAAGGGACAGAAAAAUAGCUGACUCCAAUAAAAGUUUUGACUCAAGAAGAUGAAGGCUAGGAGUGCCCUUUUGGCACAGCACGUUAAGGACCUGCUAUUGUCAUUGCAGUGGCCUGGGUUGGAUCCCUGACCCCAGAAUUUCUAAGUGCCACAGGCAUAGCCGAAAAAAAGGAAGAUGCAGGCUAAAAACUAAAGGGCUCCAAGUUCAAUCUAUAAAUCUCUCCCCUUUCUAUGGGAGACCCACCUUUCUUCAAAACAAAGUUCUGUUUCUGAGCAGAGAAGGAGAUUAUUUACCAAGCAAAGACUGGAGCAUCUAGGCACUUUAAUCACUCAGAGGUCCAGUCAAUCAGCAGCUUCUUCUGUAUCUGAAGUUUGCACUGACCCCCAGGCCCACAGUGCACACCUGAAAACCCCUCCCUUUCGCCCAGCAGACACCACCAUCUCGUACUUAUCAUUCAAGACCAGCAUGAUGUACACAGCUGAGCAGCUAAGCUUCGGAUGUAGAAAUUGAGCUCUUUCCUUAUAGACUCACUGAGGACUCAACUUCAUAGGGACUGUUUGGCCUAACUCCUCUCAUUUUAUACAGGGCAAUGAAGACUCCAGAGGCCUGCCCAGUAGGAACCAUCUUCUCAGCCACAGAGCCUAGACCAUGUCCUGCACCAGGAAUAAGAACUUCCGACAACAAGGACAUGGAAUUUUUACACAUCUACACAUGGAUGUGGAUUGUCUAGAUCAACAAAUGCCACUGGUGCCUCUAUCAUCGUGUUUUGACUUAAAAAUGAGUCUUCCAAGCUCAAAGGUCUACAACUACCUCCAGACACCACGUAGAAGGCCUGGCGAGAGUGUCAGAGCUUAGGGAAGGAGAGGGGCCGUUGUCCCCCCCCGCCUCUUCUUCUAUAGGAUUCCACUUCUAAGCAAUCCAACACCAGGAAGAGCUAUCGCCAUGAGGCCUUUGGAUCAUUCUCAACAUGUCUGAUGAGACUUAUCAGCUCGUUUUAUUCCACAGUUGUAACAGCACAAUAUCCCGGGAGAACUCAACAAAGCACAAUUUGCUCCUAUUCCAUGAAAAUGCAGACCAAGUCUCCAAAACAAAGUAGGAACCCAGCUUGACCAGCCCUCUGCCUGCUUGGGCCACCCUCAUAAACUGGACGCUUUUUGAGAUGAGUUAAGUCAACCACGUUGAAGGGUUCAAAUCAGCUGGAAAAGGCUUAACCAUAGCACACAGCCACUGCCAGGCACUACCACCCACACACCCCAAGAAGAGAAACUUGUUUGAGAAGUUCUCCUGAGUGGAUGGCAUUACCUCUCAGGAUGGCAGAAAACUUCUUGGAGCACUGGACCACCUAACCUAAAAUAGGAAGCCAGAAGAGUCAGACCAAAAAUAGUCUGCCUCUUCAGCAAACAAGAGAAGGGAUGUCAAGAUUAAUAGAUCAUAAAUGGCACCAAAGAGCCCAGCCAAAAGGAGGAAUCACUGCAUUUCAUCAAUUAUCCUGAUUUUGAGUGAGCUGAAGAACAAAGUUUUGUACUUUUUAGUUUGCCCACCUUAUAGAAUAUGUAUCCCCAAGACUUAUACCCUGCGUGAAAUUAUAAGGGACACCAUUAUCAGGGAAAUGGAAACACAGCAAUCUUAAGACCCCCGCAGAGAGAAAAACAAAAAUGUAUUGGGAGGAUCCCCACACAUACAUACACCCAGCCGCUCUGAGCAAAAGCUGCAGAAUAUUACCAAACUGCAGGACAUUGAGGGUUUUCUUUGCAGUUGGGAUGGUCUGGCUCCUGGACUUUUCUGGGGAGGUGGGGGUUGUCAGUAGUCAAACUGAGAAGUUAUUUUAGGAUGCCUGACCCCAGCCAGGAGUUGGAGAAUCCUUGGUUUCAGAUUUGCAGGAGUAGGAGCUCUGUCAGAGUAGAAACAGCCCUGGACACGAGUUUGGGUUCCUGUGCUGUGGCUUACUAGUUGUGUUAUCUUGGAUGGGUCACAAUCUCAUGGAAGCUGUUUCCU